rnacentral:lncRNA from 1 species
AUGGAUCUGGCUAAAGGCGGAGGACUGGCCUUUGAGUUGGGCUCUGCGACUAAACUAGAGCCGUGUGACCUCGGGCAAAGUGAUGGACGCGUCCAAGAUCUCGGUUUCUUUCAGAGGGAGGAGAGAUUUAUCCAAGUCCAGUGGCAAGACAAAAGCCAAGAUGACUGGCAGUGGCCAGGGAUUCAGGAUGACCUUGGCAUCUUCCCUAUCU